GAAGACAAUAAGCCUUCACACAAACCAGCAAACUCUUUCAGUUUCACCAGUAUAUUUCCACUUAAAGAGUUUGCUGGUUUGUGUGAGGGCUUAUUGUCAU